UUCAAAAAUACAUUCAAGGACUGGGGAAGUAGAUGAGAAGGCAGACUCCUUGCUUCUCUAAUGUGUUGCAAGGCUAAGUUUGACCCAUAGCAGCACACACACAUUCACAUACAAUUCAGCAACUAUUUGCUUAGACAGAAUAGACAAAUAUUAUAUAAUCCCCUGUUAGUGUAUUCCAUAAACGAAUUGAACAAAAUUUGUCUAGUAGAGGAGACAUUGCAUAAAUACAAUAUUUUUGUUGUGUUUUAUCGCAAACGGUUUUAUUUACCCGGUAAGUGCAGGAUCAAGGGAUGGAGAAGAUAUCAUGGAAGCAGAAGAGGAGUCCUAAUUGACUGGAGAGGCUUCAUGUACUGUUGUCUAAUCUUUUUUGUUGGUUGAGAAGGGUCUUGCUCUGUAGCUUUUGGCUGGCCUGGAACUCAUGAUGUAGACCAAGUUGACCUUGAAGGCAGAAAGACCUGCCUGUCUCUGCUUCCCAAAUGCUUCAGUGAAAGGUCAGUGAAGUUGCAAGACUCACAAGCGUUGCACAGCCAGCUGUACCAGCAAGCCAAGCCCUGUUUCUGUCACUCCAUGGAGUCCUGUUUAUACCCUCUGUGGUGGCUAUUCCUGGUUGUC